rnacentral:rRNA from 1 species
UACAGAGGUCCCAAGCGUUGUUCGGAUUCAUUGGGCGUAAAGGGUGCGUAGGUGGCGCCGUAAGUCGGGUGUGAAAUUUCGGAGCUUAACUCCGAAACUGCAUUCGAUACUGCGGUGCUCGAGGACUGGAGAGGAGACUGGAAUUCAUGGUGUAGCAGUGAAAUGCGUAGAGAUCAUGAGGAAGACCAGUGGCGAAGGCGGGUCUCUGGACAGUUCCUGACGCUGAGGCACGAAGGUCAGGGGAGCAAACGGG